UAAGUAAAGUAAAGCAAAGAUAAAAUCUUGUACCUUUUGCAUCAUGGCUUAGCAAGUAAACCCGAAAAUACUGCCGCCUCCCCGAAACUAGACGAGCUACCCUGGGAUUACCUAUAAGAGUUAAUCCGUAUCUGUGGCAAAAGAUUGGAAAAAGCCCUGGGUAGAGGUGAAAAGCCUACCGAGCCUAGUGAUAGCUGGUUACUUAAGAAACAAGUUUAAGCUUGAUCUUAAUUUGUAGAUAAGCAACAAAAUUACUUAUAAAUUUAAACAUCUUACUACUCUACAUUUUAAGUUUUAUUCACUAGGGGUACAGCCCUAGUGAACAGAGAUACAGCUCUAUUGAUUAGAUAAUAUCCAACUUAUAAACUUAAGUAGGCCUAAAAGCAGCCACCAAGAAGAAAAGCGUUACAGCUUAAGUUUACUAAACUUUAAAUACCAUAAUAUAUAAAGACCCUAUAACCACUAUUAAGUAAUCCUAUA
rnacentral:rRNA from 1 species